rnacentral:rRNA from 1 species
GACGAACGCUGGCGGCGUGCCUAAUACAUGCAAGUCGAGCGCAGGAAGCCGUCUGAACCCUUCGGGGGGACGACGGUGGAAUGAGCGGCGGACGGGUGAGUAAUACGUAAAGAACCUGCCCAUAGGUCUGGGAUAACCACGAGAAAUCGGGGCUAAUACCGGAUGUGUCAUCGGACCGCAUGGUCCGCUGAUGAAAGGCGCUCCGGCGUCGCCCAUGGAUGGCUUUGCGGUGCAUUAGCUAGUUGGUGGGGUAACGGCCCACCAAGGCGACGAUGCAUAGCCGACCUGAGAGGGUGAUCGGCCACACUGGGACUGAGACACGGCCCAGACUCCUACGGGAGGCAGCAGUAGGGAAUCUUCCACAAUGGACGAAAGUCUGAUGGAGCAACGCCGCGUGAACGAUGAAGGCUUUCGGGUCGUAAAGUUCUGUUGUAAGGGAAGAACAAGUGCCGCAGGCAAUGGCGGCACCUUGACGGUACCUUGCGAGAAAGCCACGGCUAACUACGUGCCAGCCGCCGCUGUCA